rnacentral:rRNA from 1 species
GACGAACGCUGGCGGCGUGCUUAACACAUGCAAGUCGAACGGGCCUUGUCCCCUUUUUUUUUGGGGGUGGGGUUAGUGGCGAACGGGUGAGUAACACGUGAGUAACCUGCCCCUCACUUCUGGAUAACCGCUUGAAAGGGUGGCUAAUACGGGGUGUUCUGGCCUGCUCGCAUGGGUGGGUUUGGAAAGAUUCGACCGGUUUUGGUUGUUUUGGUGGGGGAUGGGCUCGCGGCCUAUCAGCUUGUUGGUGGGGUGAUGGCCUGCCAAGGCUUUGACGGGUAGCCGGGCUGAGAGGGUGGGCGGUCACACUGGGACUGAGACACGGCCCAGACUCCUACGGGAGGCAGCAGUGGGGAAUAUUGCACAAUGGGCGCAAGCCUGAUGCAGCGACGCCGCGUGAGGGAUGGAGGCCUUCGGGUUGUGAACCUCUUUCGCCAGUGAAGAAGGUCCUGCUCUUUGUGGUGGGGUUGACGGUAGCUGGGUUAAUGAAGCGCCGGCUAACUACGUG